ACAUGCAAGUCGAACGGCAGCACGGGUGCUUGCACCUGGUGGCGAGUGGCGAACGGGUGAGUAAUACAUCGGAACAUGUCCUGUAGUGGGGGAUAGCCCGGCGAAAGCCGGAUUAAUACCGCAUACGAUCUACGGAUGAAAGCGGGGGACCUUCGGGCCUCGCGCUAUAGGGUUGGCCGAUGGCUGAUUAGCUAGUUGGUGGGGUAAAGGCCCACCAAGGCGACGAUCAGUAGCUUGUCUGAGAGGACGACCAGCCACACUGGGACUGAGACACGGCCCAGACUCCUACGGGAGGCAGCAGUGGGGAAUUUUGGACAAUGGGCGAAAGCCUGAUCCAGCAAUGCCGCGUGUGUGAAGAGGGCCUUCGGGUUGUAAAGCACUUUUGUCCGGAAAGAAAUCCUGAGGGCUAAUAUCCUUCGGGGAUGACGGUACCGGAAGAAUAAGCACCGGCUUACUACGUGCCAGCAGCCGCGGUAAUACGUAGGGUGCGAGCGUUAAUCGGAAUUACUGGGCGUAAAGCGUGCGCAGGCGGUUUGUUAAGACCGAUGUGAAAUCCCCGGGCUCAACCUGGGAACUGCAUUGGUGAC
rnacentral:rRNA from 1 species